UCUCUGGUGGUCCAGUGGUUAAGAUUCUGAGCUUCCAAUUCAGGGGGCUCAGGUUUGAUCCCUGGUUGGGGAA
rnacentral:tRNA from 1 species